rnacentral:misc_RNA from 1 species
AACUUUCAGCAAUGGAUCACUUGGUUCUGGCAUCGAUGAAGAACGCAGCGAAAUGCGAUACGUAAUGUGAAUUGCAGAAUUCAGCGAAUCAUCGAAUCUUUGAACGCACAUUGCGCCUCCGGGUAUUCCUGGAGGCAUGCUUGUUCGAGCGUCGUUAAAACCCAUAAGGCUUAGCCUUGCGAUGAGCCGCCGAUCGAUUUCGGUUGGUGGCUUCAAACUGAUUGGCGUCUGAAGUUUAGCCCAAGCACAGCACAAUGUGAUGAAAGCUAGACGGAAUGCAGCCUGUUUUUAACUAUGUAGUUCGACCUCGGAUCAAGCAAGAUUACCCGCUGAACUUAAGCAUAUCAAUAAGCGGAGGCU